rnacentral:rRNA from 1 species
GUGGCGACGGGUGAGUAACACGUGGGCAAUCUGCCCUUCACUCUGGGACAAGCCCUGGAAACGGGGUCUAAUACCGGAUAAUACUCUGUUCCGCAUGGGACGGGGUUGAAAGCUCCGGCGGUGAAGGAUGAGCCCGCGGCCUAUCAGCUUGUUGGUGGGGUAAUGGCCUACCAAGGCGACGACGGGUAGCCGGCCUGAGAGGGCGACCGGCCACACUGGGACUGAGACACGGCCCAGACUCCUACGGGAGGCAGCAGUGGGGAAUAUUGCACAAUGGGCGAAAGCCUGAUGCAGCGACGCCGCGUGAGGGAUGACGGCCUUCGGGUUGUAAACCUCUUUCAGCAGGGAAGAAGCGCAAGUGACGGUACCUGCAGAAGAAGCGCCGGCUAACUACGUGCCAGCAGCCGCGGUAAUACGUAGGGCGCAAGCGUUGUCCGGAAUUAUUGGGCGUAAAGAGCUCGUAGGCGGCUUGUCACGUCGGAUGUGAAAGCCCGGGGCUUAACCCCGGGUCUGCAUUCGAUACGGGCUAGCUAGAGUGUGGUAGGGGAGAUCGGAAUUCCUGGUGUAGCGGUGAAAUGCGCAGAUAUCAGGAGGAACACCGGUGGCGAAGGCGGAUCUCUGGGCCAUUACUGACGCUGAGGAGCGAAAGCGUGGGGAGCGAACAGGAUUAGAUACCCUGGUAGUCCACGCCGUAAACGUUGGGAACUAGGUGUUGGCGACAUUCCACGUC